GGAAGGUCCAGGCGUUAUCCGGAUUUAUUGGGUUUAAAGGGAGCGUAGGCGGAUUGUUAAGUCAGCGGUUAAAGGGUGUGGCUCAACCAUGCAUUGCCGUUGAAACUGGCGAUCUUGAGUGCAGACAGGGAUGCCGGAAUUCGUGGUGUAGCGGUGAAAUGCUUAGAUAUCACGAAGAACUCCGAUCGCGAAGGCAGGUGUCCGGGCUGCAACUGACGCUGAGGCUCGAAAGUGUGGGGUAUCAAACAGGAUUAGAUACCCUGGUAGUCCACACAGUAAACGAUGUAUACUCGCGGUUUGCGAUAGAUUGUAAGCCGCCAAGCGAAAGCAUUAAGUAUACCACCUGGGAGUACGCCGGCAACGGUG
rnacentral:rRNA from 1 species